rnacentral:lncRNA from 1 species
ACUUUUUAUUCAACUCAUUCAGCAUCUUUGCUUUUCCUCCAGACGCGUUCUUCUGCAUGUUACAGCUGCUUCCUGCAAGCACCAGAAAGAAAGACAAAGUAAGUUAUGCUACUUCAUUUAUGUUCUCUUCUCACAUUGGGCGCUACAUGUGGAUGAUGAUGCGCAGCACAAGGUAAAAUAAGAUGAAAUGAUCCAACAGGUUAUUGCAUAAAAUAAAGUACACGUUACGCUAAUUGCAUCAUUGUUAAACCCAUCUUAACAAAAUGCAUUGUGGAGGUAGUUAGCAUGAUUAUUCAAUUAACCGAUCAACCCAUUUACCGAUGAAGGUAUUAAUGUUGCUUGUUGGACAGAACUAGCUAAGGAAUAAAAAUGAUUUCUGUUGUUCUUUUUGAAAGUUAACCACGCUCCACAUCAGACACUGUCACGGUUUUUUUGUUUCAGUAGCAUCAGUUUAAGAAAGAGGCAUGUCCUUAGAUACAAAUACAAGCCAUGAACAAUGCAUUUGUGAUAGAUAAUAGUGUAGUGUAGAUAAAUAGCAGAAAGACAACAGUCCCUUAAAACAAGUUUGUGCUAUGCAUCUGAAGCAUGCUUCACAUGAAAUUGGUAGACAACAUUAUUAUUAAAUAUUAUAUUAGCAUGCUGACUACCCUUUUGGGGUACAAAAGUAAUUUAUGUUGUUCAUUUUAAAAGCCAAGCACUAUUAUUACACCUAGCCAGGACAUUCAGUAUUUCAGUUCAUAGAAAAGGUUAAAAAAAAGCAUGAGUACGCUGAUGUUCAUUUUAAAAGCGAAGCACCAUUAUUACACCUAGCCAGGACAUUCACUUCAUAGAGAAGGUUAAAAAAAAGCAUUCUUGUGCUGAUCUUGUUGUUUUGAUAGCAUCACUUCAGCAAACAACUUCACGACAUUAUUACUUCACGACAUUAUUAAACACUAUAUCAUGGUUUAGCAAUAUCACAGUAUGACUGAUCUUAUCAUCUCAAUAGUACCAGUUUAACAAAGAGACAUCUGUCCCUAGAAGCGAGUUUGUGCUACAACAUUAUUAAACAAGUUGGCAUGUGUAAGCAGCUUAACAAAGCACUGGCGUAGAUAAAUGAGCAUCAAUUGUUAGGCAUAUUCAAAUAUAUUAAUACAGUUAAAAAGCCAACAAAACAGAUGCCUAGCUAGUUGUACUUGAGUUCAUAUAGAGAGUAAAAAGAAAGCAUGAGUGUGCUGUGAAUAGCACCAGUUUAGCAAAGAAGCAUCUGUCCUUAUAAACAACUUUGUGCUAUGAAUAUGUAUGAAGCAUGCUUUGCAUCAAAUUGGUAGACAACAAUAUAAAAAAUACUACGUUAGCAUGGUUGAGCAAUUUAUUAACAAAGCAAAGGUAGAAAGGUAAUUUUGGGACAUUCGAGAUAAGUUUGCAUGGAUGUAUCUAGACAUGUCGCUCAUUUUGAAAGACGAGCGCUAGUAAUUAUUUCUUAGCUAGGACAUUCAGUUGCACCAGUUUAAGAAAGAGGCAUGUCCUUGGAAACAAGUACAAGCUAUGAACAAUGCAUUUGUGGUAGAUAAUAGUGUAGUGUAGAUAAAUAGCAAAAAGACAACAGUCCCUUGAAACAAGUUUGUGCUAUGCAUCUUGCUUCACAUGAAAUUGGUAGACAACAUUAUUAUUAAAUAUUAUAUUAGCAUGCUGACUACCCUUUUGGGGUACAACGCAGUGGUGAAGUCCUCCCCACUUGUGCCAAGAGGUCCUGGGUUCGAACCAGCCUCUCUGCAUUGCACUUUGCAGGGGUAAGACUAGGUUCCUAUAAUCCCUCCCCAGACCCCACCUUGUGUGGGAGCUUCU